rnacentral:rRNA from 1 species
GAUGAACGCUAGCUACAGGCUUAACACAUGCAAGUCGAGGGGCAGCAUGGUCUUAGCUUGCUAAGGCCGAUGGCGACCGGCGCACGGGUGAGUAACGCGUAUCCAACCUGCCUUACACUCUUGGACAGCCUUCUGAAAGGGAGAUUAAUACAAGAUGUUAUCAUGAGUAAGCAUUUUCGCAUGAUUAAAGGUUUACCGGUGUAAGAUGGGGAUGCGUUCCAUUAGAUAGUAGGCGGGGUAACGGCCCACCUAGUCUUCGAUGGAUAGGGGUUCUGAGAGGAAGGUCCCCCACAUUGGAACUGAGACACGGUCCAAACUCCUACGGGAGGCAGCAGUGAGGAAUAUUGGUCAAUGGACGAGAGUCUGAACCAGCCAAGUAGCGUGAAGGAUGAAGGUUCUAUAGAUUGUAAACUUCUUUUAUACGGGAAUAAACGGAUCCACGUGUGGAUUUUUGCAUGUACCGUAUGAAUAAGGAUCGGCUAACUCCGUGCCAGCAGCCGCGGUAAUACGGAGGAUCCGAGCGUUAUCCGGAUUUAUUGGGUUUAAAGGGAGCGUAGAUGGGUUGUUAAGUCAGUUGUGAAAGUUUGCGGCUCAACCGUAAAAUUGCAAUUGAUACUGGCAGUCUUGAGUACAGUUGAGGUAGGCGGAAUUCGUGGUGUAGCGGUGAAAUGCUUAGAUAUCACGAAGAACUCCGAUUGCGAAGGCAGCUUACUAACCUGUAACUGACAUUGAUGCUCGAAAGUGUGGGUAUCAAACAGGAUUAGAUACCCUGGUAGUCCACACGGUAAACGAUGAAUACUCGCUGUAGGCGAUAUACAGUCUGCGGCCAAGCGAAAGCAUUAAGUAUUCCACCUGGGGAGUACGCCGGCAACGGUGAAACUCAAAGGAAUUGACGGGGGCCCGCACAAGCGGAGGAACAUGUGGUUUAAUUCGAUGAUACGCGAGGAACCUUACCCGGGCUUAAAUUGCAACCGAAUAUGGCGGAAACGCUAUAGCUAGCAAUAGCGGUUGUGAAGGUGCUGCAUGGUUGUCGUCAGCUCGUGCCGUGAGGUGUCGGCUUAAGUGCCAUAACGAGCGCAACCCUUGCCGAUAGUUACUAACAGGUCAUGCUGAGGACUCUGUCGGGACUGCCAUCGUAAGAUGUGAGGAAGGUGGGGAUGACGUCAAAUCAGCACGGCCCUUACGUCCGGGGCUACACACGUGUUACAAUGGGGGGUACAGAGGGCUGCUACCACGCAAGUGGAUGCCAAUCCCAAAAACCUCUCUCAGUUCGGAUUGAAGUCUGCAACCCGACUUCAUGAAGCUGGAUUCGCUAGUAAUCGCGCAUCAGCCACGGCGCGGUGAAUACGUUCCCGGGCCUUGUACACACCGCCCGUCAAGCCAUGGGAGCCGGGGGUACAAGAAGUGCGUAACCGCAAGGAG